GACGAACGCUGGCGGCGUGCUUAACACAUGCAAGUCGAGCGGUAAGGCCCUUUCGGGGUACGACGAGCGGCGAACGGGUAGAGUAACACGUGGGUGACCUCGCCCUCCAGCUCUGGGAGUAAGCCUGGGAAACGUGGGUCGUAAUACCGGAUAUGACUCCAUGACGCAUGUUGUGGGGUGGAAAGCCUUGUGCGGCUGAGGAUGGGCCCGCGGCCUAUCAGCUUGUUGGGGGGGUGA
rnacentral:rRNA from 1 species